CAAUAGCGUAUAUUAAAGUUGUUGCAGUUAAAAAGCUCGUAGUUGGGUUUCUGGUGGGAGCGAUCGGUCUGGCGCUUAGCGCGAGUACUUGCAUCGUCUCCGGCCAUCCUUGGGGAGAGUCUGUCUGGCAUUAGGUUGUCGGGCAGAGGAUCCUCAUCGUUUACUGUGAAAAAAUUAGAGUGUUCAAAGCAGGCUUAUGCCGUUGAAUAUAUUAGCAUGGAAUAAUAAGAUAGGACUUUGGUACUAUUUUGUUGGUUUGCGCACCAAAGUAAUGAUUAAUAGGGACAGUUGGGGGUAUUCGUAUUCCGUUGUCAGAGGUGAAAUUCUUGGAUUUACGGAAGACGAACUACUGCGAAAGCAUUUACCAAGGAUGUUUUCAUUAA
rnacentral:rRNA from 1 species